rfam:Plasmodium coatneyi strain Hackeri chromosome 7, complete sequence.
AAUUUAUAAAUGAUGAAAAUGUCGUAAACCAUCUGUGGGGGACAUUUUUUGACAAAUAAAGU